GUGCGUCGCGUCCCCGAGCGUGUCGCGGCGGGCCCGGCACCGGCCCCGCUCCAGCGCCCGCCCCCGGCCCGCGCCCCGGGCCCCGCGCGCAUACCUGGCGAGGCCACGAGGGGAUUCUGCGGGCCGAGCCCCGCCUGGGCUGCGCCGCCGCAGGCGGGAGAGGCUGAGGAUUCUUUUGGGAAGCCCCUCCGCCGGCUGUAACCCCAGGGCCGUGCCACCCUCCUGAUCACCGCAAGCAUGGACCCCCCAGCACGCUGCGGGUGGGACAGGCAGGGCCCCUGUGGGGUGGCUUGACUGGCCUGGAGUUGGGGACGAAGUCCCCGGGCUUGGUCCCCCGAGGGCUUGGUUGGGCGUCCCGGGGUAGGUGGCUGCCGCGGCGAUGUGGGCGGCUUGCGUGUGGCCGAUCGGGGUCGCUGCUGAGCCCCGGAGAGCGGAGGGUCCAGGCUAGGCUGGGGGAGCGAGAGGCGAGGGCGGAGCCGCGGAGGUGUGGGCGGCUUUCGUGGUCCGAGAGGCCCCAGGUUCCCGGCAGGGCGGGGAAGGCUGGGGCGGGGCCAGAGCCGGAGCCGCGAAGCCGCGAUGGAGAGGGCCUGGAGGGUGCGCCAGGAGCCGGCGUCAGGGCCUGCCUCCAUCUCCUCCAACCCCCACCCCAUUUAUUCCUGUAACAAAUCCCUACCGGGAGCUGGCACAGCAGCUGUGCGCUGGGGACACACGAGAUGCUCACCCUCCCUGCCCUCCAGGAGCUUGGACUCAGCUGAGAUGCCUGGUAUCCAACUGCACUUCUCCAUGUGUGCAUUGUCCCCUGAGCUGGCAAGAAGAUCCUACUAGUUGGUCUGCAUGCCAUGCCAGCUCGGCCUUGCACCCUGGGGGCCCAGCUGUUGUCCACACCAAGGGUGGCCUACAGAGGGAAGUGAGGACCUUGGGACUUCCUCCAGGACAGCCCUCGCUGUCCAAAUCUCCACCUGCUGCAGAGCUGCCUCCAGUCAAGCCCUUGUUUCCAGCUUUCUGUGCCCUAAAUAAACUUCUGCUGGGAUUGAGCCAUCAGCAUUCUGUGGUGGGCGUCGCUGCUGCGAGGUUGCCCUCGUGCACACAAGCUCCUCACAGGACUUCCAGGAUGAUAUGGAAGAGUGACUGAGAGCAGCCGCCCGGUGCUUCCCAACCUUAGAGGGAGGUCACGGGCAGUCUCCCUGCGAUGCUGGCCACAGGGUCUCGCUGUGUCGCCCAGGCUGGAGGGCAGUGGUGUGAUCUGGACUCACUGCAGCCUCGACCUGUUGGGCUCAAGUGAUCCUCUCACGUCAGCCUCCAAGUAGCCAAGACCACAGGCAGGCGUCACCAUGCCCAGCCCCCAUGAUGACUUUACUUUUCUUCUUGAACCUGGUGAAUUUCUGUGUUAACAUGUCUGAUUUGAACCCUUCUGAUAUUCCUGAGAUAAACUUUAUGUGACCUUGGUAUUCUGUUGGAUUUUGGUUAGCUGAUACUUCAAGAUUUUUAUAAAACUGGGUUGCAAUUUAUUUGUGUUCCCGUUUCUAGCUGUCUAUGAGCUUCAUCAAAUGGGCAGGACCACUUUCCCUUAACUUCUCCUUUUCUGGAACAACGGACAUAUCCUGUGGAUUAUCUGUUCCCCACAGAGUCCUGGAAGUUAAAUGCUCUAUUUCCCAGCCUCCCUUGCAGCUAGGAGCAGUCAUGUGACUCCAUUCUGGCCAACGAGAUACAAGAAACACUUGCUGACAGGUGCAAUCAGAAAGCGUUUGCUUUUCCAGUAACAUGUAGGACCAGUCACCUUUUUGCAUUUCCCCUUUCUUCUUGAUUCGAACAUUGCAUUGCCGUCAUGUUUGGAGAUGAGUCAGCCAUCUUGCAAAUAGGAGGCAGCAAGACUGAGGGAAAUGCCAUCCUGCUUCAGAGGGCAGAAUGGAAAGAGAAGCCUAAGAUGGCAAUGGUACGGUUGGGCAGCUGAGUCAGGACUGGGGCCACUGCCUCUCGGUUUCAAGGGAGAAAAAUAAACCCCUGUUUGUUGGCCUCAUGCUAGGUUGGAUUUUCUUUUACUUAAAGCCAAGACAUUUCUAACAUACAAAACCAGACACAUGUGCAUGCCACACGUACAUCACAAGUGAUCACAUGCUGUCCGACUAGCACCUCGAUUUUUCCACUGAACCAUCAGUCUUGCAGAUCAUCCUUUAUCAGUGCCUGGCAACUUGUCUUGCCCUUGUUUUCUUGGGUUUUUGUUUUUGUUUUUGUUUAAGACAAGGUCUCAUCUGUUGCCCAGGCUGGAGUGCAUUGGCACAAUCAUAGCUCACUACAGCCUGGACCUUCUGGGCUCAGCAGUCCUCCGUCCUCAGCCUCCCGAGUAGCUGGUACUAAAGGCAUGUGCCACCAUGCCCGG
rnacentral:lncRNA from 1 species